UACGGAGGGUGCGAGCGUUGUCCGGAAUCAUUGGGCGUAAAGGGCGCGUAGGUGGCCCGGUCAGUUCGUGGUGAAAGCGCGGGGCUCAACCCUGCGUCGGCCAUGAAUACUGCCGCGGCUGGAGCACUGUAGAGGCAGGCGGAAUUCCGGGUGUAGCGGUGGAAUGCGUAGAGAUCCGGAAGAACACCGGUGGCGAAGGCGGUCUGCUGGGGUAAUGCUGACACUGAUGCGCGACAGCGUGGGGAGCAAACAGG
rnacentral:rRNA from 1 species